rnacentral:rRNA from 1 species
AAGUCGUAACAAGGUUUCCGUAGGUGAACCUGCGGAAGGAUCAUUACCAAGAGAAAUCUUUCAACACUGAAAGAUCUUUUCCUUUGUGCUGGCUUUGACCGUAUGUAAUUUUGGGACUUUAAAAUGGUUCGCAAGGGCCGGUCCCAAAAACAAUAUAUCAUCCUUAUGAAAUUUUUUCUGAACAAUUAAACAAAUGAUUUUAAUAAUCUGUUUAAAACAACUUUCAACAACGGAUCUCUUGGUUCUCGCAUCGAUGAAGAACGCAGCGAAAUGCGAUACGUAAUGUGAAUUGCAGAAUUCAGUGAAUCAUCGAAUCUUUGAACGCACAUUGCACUCCUUGGUAUUCCGAGGAGUAUGCCUGUUUCAGUAUCAUGAGCACUCUCACACCUAACCUUUGGGUUUAUGGCGUGGAAUUGGAAUGCGCCGACUGUCAUGGUUGGCCCUUCUAAAAUGUAGUUCUUGGCUGUCACCUAAUACAGCAGUUUGGCCUAAUAGUCUUGGCAUUCAUUGUCAAAUCUUUGGCUAACAUUUGCUCCAGGAGUCAGUCUUGAUAAUACAGAAAACUCAUUCAAAUUUUGAUCUGAAAUCAGGUAGGGCUACCCGCUGAACUUAA